UUUCACAUUAAAUUGUUUUUAAUUAUUUUUUUUCUUUUCGUUGUGGUUUCGAACGGUGAUAGAUUCUAAGCGAAUAGAGGGUCAAUGGAUAUUCUAUAAUCGUUUGCUACGAUAUUUUUUUUUAAAAAAAAAAAAAAAGUCAAAACGUCUGCCACGGUAUUCCGCUAUCUACCACGAUAAUUUUUUUAUUAAAACGAUAUCGCUCGACCGUCGGAGCUUGGGCGUAGUCCCCGUUAGCUUUUUUCGUGCCCAAUACCUACCUACCUACCUACCUGCCUAUUGUACUGCGAUCGCGUAAUUUUAUGUGGGUAACCGGCUACCGCGUUCAUUGUGAUAAUAUUGUAUAAUAAUAUUACACGUAUGUAUAGGCACGCGGAAUAUUAUAAUCAUAAAUAUAUAAUAUAUAAUGUUAUUAUUAUUUUAAUCGAAAGCGGUUUUUGCCGCAGACGACGGUCGUCAUAAAUCGGUGGCGGCGGCGACCGUGCGUGUGUAAAAAAAAAAAAAAACGUCCCAAGGUCCGUAUAGCUGCGCCGCCGCCACUCACGCGCUCGCGUUAUAAUGUCUCGCGAACAGAAUACGUGACAGCGGCCGGCGCGACGGUUAACGAACACGUGUCGUUUGCACCUCGCCGAUAAUUAUUACUAUCGUAUGUACGGAUAUUGCAGUAACAUAAUAUUACGAAUAUUAUUAUUAUCAUCGCUGGAGUAUACGCGAGAAUAUUAUUUCGUAUAUAUUAUAAUGAUAAUUAUUAUACGGUUGACCGUGGUCGCGGUGCCGCGGAAAACGGACGCGGUGGCGACGACGGCCCGAGGUCGACGGACGAAAUGCGUCUUUUUUCGGAUUCCGUCUCCGUGUAAUAAUAUUAUAAUCGGAAC